ACGCCCGGGCUUCGGCCUGGUUAUUCAUAACCCUUUGUUGUCCGACUCUGUUGCCUCCGGGGCGACCCUGCCUUCGGGCGGGGGCUCCGGGUGGACACUUCAAACUCUUGCGUAACUUUGCAGUCUGAGUAAACUUAAUUAAUAAAUUAAAACUUUUAACAACGGAUCUCUUGGUUCUGGCAUCGAUGAAGAACGCAGCGAAAUGCGAUAAGUAAUGUGAAUUGCAGAAUUCAGUGAAUCAUCGAAUCUUUGAACGCACAUUGCGCCCCCUGGUAUUCCGGGGGGCAUGCCUGUUCGAGCGUCAUUUCACCACUCAAGCCUCGCUUGGUAUUGGGCAACGCGGUCCGCCGCGUGCCUCAAAUCGUCCGGCUGGGUCUUCUGUCCCCUAAGCGUUGUGGAAACUAUUCGCUAAAGGGUGUUCGGGAGGCUACGCCGUAAAACAACCCCAUUUUCUAAGGUUGACCUCGGGAUCAGGGUAGGGAUACCCCGCUGAACUUAAGC
rnacentral:rRNA from 1 species